GCUGUAGCUCAGUGGUAGAGAAUCUGCUUUGCCUGCAGAAGGUUCCCAGGAUCAAUCUUUGGCAUCUCCA